AUUGAACGCUGGCGGCAGGCUUAACACAUGCAAGUCGAGCGGGGAAGGGUAGCUUGCUACCUGACCUAGCGGCGGACGGGUGAGUAAUGCUUAGGAAUCUGCCUAUUAGUGGGGGACAACAUUCCGAAAGGAAUGCUAAUACCGCAUACGCCCUACGGGGGAAAGCAGGGGAUCUUCGGACCUUGCGCUAAUAGAUGAGCCUAAGUCAGAUUAGCUAGUUGGUGGGGUAAAGGCCUACCAAGGCGACGAUCUGUAGCGGGUCUGAGAGGAUGAUCCGCCACACUGGGACUGAGACACGGCCCAGACCCCUACGGGAGGCAGCAGUGGGGAAUAUUGGACAAUGGGCGAAAGCCUGAUCCAGCCAUGCCGCGUGUGUGAAGAAGGCCUUUUGGUUGUAAAGCACUUUAAGCGAGGAGGAGGCUACUUGGAUUAAUACUCUAGGAUAGUGGACGUUACUCGCAGAAUAAGCACCGGCUAACUCUGUGCCAGCCGCCGCUGUAAGAC
rnacentral:rRNA from 1 species